CUCCGGCAGCUUCAUCUCCAGCAGGGAGGGGAGAGCAGGCGGAGGCCUCCAGCCCUCCUGAGCCCCUCACCCUUCCUCUGGCCCCAGCCCUGGGACCCCACGGGAGAAUCCGGCUGGCAUCCAGAUCAAGUCGCAUGAUGAAACCUCCAGCCUGGUCCCCGGCUAGGUUCAGCCGGCAGUGAGAGGGGAGGGCAGGGCUGGGGGGAGGCGUCUGGCCCAGGCUAAGCCGCUGUGCAUUAACCCCGGAGCAGUUAUGACAUAUCUCGAAUACCCAAGCGUGAUCCUCCACCCCCUGCCGCUGCCCGGGUACCGCUCCCGCCCCGCGCCCAGACAGACGGACAGACACACGGCUCAGCAUGUCCGACAGCCCCAGCCCAGGAGGGGCCCCCGAAGAGGGGGCCCCCGAUGAACCCCAGGGGCAGCCCCCCUGCGCCGAGCUCAAAGCAGCCAUGGAGAAAUGCGUGCGUGAGAACGGGGAGGAUUCGUGCAAGGAGCUGAUGGAAUCGUACCACGAGUGUCUCCGUGCCCUGGGCAUCAAGGUCUAGCAGCCCUCCCCCACGGCGCUGGUGUGGCCAGUGGGUGCAGCGUCACCCAGGGGAGCCCGGCUGUGAGAGUGAAGAGCCGCCGAGACACGCCAGCGGCCAUGGAGGUGGCAGCUGCUCCGGAUUCAGGAGGCAUGGGGGGCAGGGUAAUAAACU